rnacentral:lncRNA from 1 species
GGAACACACAACUUAGAUACUGAUAUCUAUAGGCUGAAAUUAAACUUCGAAGGGGGCGAAUGUAAGGCUUGCAGUGCAUCCACUAUGGAGGUUUAUAACAAAGGCACAGGCUCCGCACCGUCUCACCUUUGCCAGCCUGGGUUGAAUGAAGCCAAAGGACGUUCACAGUGUCCUGAGAAGCUGGGCAGUCACCCUGUUCUUCCUGUCCUGGCCGGAGGAACUUUUUCUGGCUGCGAAGUUCCUUCCUGACUCUGAACAGUGCCGGCUUGGAGUAUGGGAUGAUACAGGCAAGGGGUCUGAAAAUUACUUUGAUCGCAUUAUGGAGAAAUGGUUAUUAACACACAACAGGUUUUCUUUAAAACUGAAGAUUUGUUGUGGAGGGAAAUAUAAACAGCCUCCAGGAGCCAAAUAUUAGAGAACAUUCCACUCAAUAGCAACAGAAUACCCAGUCUUAUUAAACACACAUAGAAUAUUCUCCAGGAUACAACAUACUUUCAGUUCAAUUCAGUUCAGUCGCUCAGUCGUGUCCGACUCUUUGUGACCCCAUGAAUCACAGCACGCCAGGCCUCCCUGUCCAUCACCAAUUCCCGGAGUUUACCCAGACCCACGUCUAUCGAGUCAGCGAUGCCAUCCAGCCAUCUCAUCCUCUGUCAUCCCCAUCUCCUCCUGCCCCCAAUCCCUCCCAGCAUCAGAGUCCUUUCCAAUGAGUCAACUCUUCCCAUGAGGUGGCCAAAGUACUGGAGUUUCAGCUUUAGCAUCAUUCCUUCAAAAGAAAUCCCAGGGC